AUUGAACGCUGGCGGAAUGCUUUACACAUGCAAGUCGAACGGCAGCACGGACUUCGAUCUGGUGGCGAGUGGCGAACGGGUGAGUAAUGUAUCGGAACGUGCCCAGUCGUGGGGGAUAACGUAGUGAAAAUUACGCUAAUACCGCAUACGAUCUACGGAUGAAAGCGGGGGAUCGCAAGACCUCGCGGGAUUGGAGCGGCCGAUAUCGGAUUAGGUAGUUGGUGGGGUAAAGGCCCACCAAGCCAACGAUCUGUAGCUGGUCUGAGAGGACGACCAGCCACACUGGAACUGAGACACGGUCCAGACUCCUACGGGAGGCAGCAGUGGGGAAUUUUGGACAAUGGGCGAAAGCCUGAUCCAGCCAUUCCGCGUGCAGGAUGAAGGCCCUCGGGUUGUAAACUGCUUUUGUACAGAACGAAAAGGUUUCUACUAAUACUAGGAGCUCAUGACGGUACUGUAAGAAUAAGCACCGGCUAACUACGUGCCAGCAGCCGCCGCGG
rnacentral:rRNA from 1 species